rnacentral:rRNA from 1 species
GAUGAACGCUGGCGGCGUGCUUAACACAUGCAAGUCGAACGGUGAAGGCGGAGCUUGCUCUGCUGGAUCAGUGGCGAACGGGUGAGUAACACGUGAGCAAUCUGCCCCUGACUCUGGGAUAAGCGCUGGAAACGGCGUCUAAUACUGGAUACGAGCUGCGAAGGCAUCUUCAGCAGCUGGAAAGAACUUCGGUCAGGGAUGAGCUCGCGGCCUAUCAGCUUGUUGGUGAGGUAACGGCUCACCAAGGCGUCGACGGGUAGCCGGCCUGAGAGGGUGACCGGCCACACUGGGACUGAGACACGGCCCAGACUCCUACGGGAGGCAGCAGUGGGGAAUAUUGCACAAUGGGCGAAAGCCUGAUGCAGCAACGCCGCGUGAGGGACGACGGCCUUCGGGUUGUAAACCUCUUUUAGCAGGGAAGAAGCGAAAGUGACGGUACCUGCAGAAAAAACGCCGGCUAACUACGU